rnacentral:rRNA from 1 species
GUGCCAGCAGCCGCGGUAAUACGUAGGGUGCGAGCGUUAAUCGGAAUUACUGGGCGUAAAGCGUGCGCAGGCGGUUUUGUAAGACAGAUGUGAAAUCCCCGGGCUUAACCUGGGAACUGCGUUUGUGACUGCAAGGCUAGAGUACGGCAGAGGGGGGGUGGAAUUCCACGUGUAGCAGUGAAAGGCGUAGAUAUGUGGAGGAACACCGAUGGCGAAGACAGCCCCCUGGGCCUGUACUGCCGCCCAUGCCCGAAAGCGUGGGGGCCAAAAAGGAUUAGAUACCCUGGUAGUCCACGCCCUA